GACGAACGCUGGCGGCGUGCUUAACACAUGCAAGUCGAACGAUGAAGCGGUGCUUGCACCGUGGAUUAGUGGCGAACGGGUGAGUAAUACGUGAGUGACCUACCUUUGACUCUGGGAUAAGCCUGGGAAACUGGGUCUAAUACCGGAUACGACCAAUCUCUGCAUGGGGUGUUGGUGGAAAGCGUUAUGGAGUGGUUUUAGAUGGGCUCACGGCCUAUCAGCUUGUUGGUGAGGUAAUGGCUUACCAAGGCGACGACGGGUAGCCGGCCUGAGAGGGUGACCGGCCACACUGGGACUGAGACACGGCCCAGACUCCUACGGGAGGCAGCAGUGGGGAAUAUUGCACAAUGGGCGCAAGCCUGAUGCAGCGACGCCGCGUGAGGGAUGACGGCCUUCGGGUUGUAAACCUCUGUUAGCAUCGAAGAAGCGAAAGUGACGGUAGGUGCAGAGAAAGCGCCGGCUAACUACGUGCCAGCAGCCGCGGUAAUACGUAGGGCGCGAGCGUUGUCCGGAAUUAUUGGGCGUAAAGAGCUUGUAGGCGGUUGGUCGCGUCUGCUGUGAAGGCCGGGGCUUAACUCCGGUUUUGCAGUGGGUACGGGCUAACUAGAGUGCAGUAGGGGAGACUGGAAUUCCUGGUGUAGCGGUGGAAUGCACAGAUAUCAGGAGGAACACCGAUGGCGAAGGCAGGUCUCUGGGCUGUAACUGACGCUGAGAAGCGAAAGCAUGGGGAGCGAACAGGAUUAGAUACCCUGGUAGUCCAUGCCGUAAACGUUGGGCACUAGGUGUGGGGGACAUUCCACGUUUUCCGCGCCGUAGCUAACGCAUUAAGUGCCCCGCCUGGGGAGUACGGCCGCAAGGCUAAAACUCAAAGGAAUUGACGGGGGCCCGCACAAGCGGCGGAGCAUGCGGAUUAAUUCGAUGCAACGCGAAGAACCUUACCAAGGCUUGACAUGCAUUAGAUCGCGUCAGAGAUGGCGUUUCCCUUCGGGGCUGGUGUACAGGUGGUGCAUGGUUGUCGUCAGCUCGUGUCGUGAGAUGUUGGGUUAAGUCCCGCAACGAGCGCAACCCUCGUUCUAUGUUGCCAGCGGUUCGGCCGGGGACUCAUAGGAGACUGCCGGGGUCAACUCGGAGGAAGGUGGGGAUGGCGUCAAAUCAUCAUGCCCCUUAUGUCUUGGGCUUCACGCAUGCUACAAUGGCCGGUACAGAGGGUUGCGAUACUGUGAGGUGGAGCUAAUCCCUUAAAGCCGGUCUCAGUUCGGAUUGGGGUCUGCAACUCGACCCCAUGAAGUCGGAGUCGCUAGUAAUCGCAGAUCAGCAACGCUGCGGUGAAUACGUUCCCGGGCCU
rnacentral:rRNA from 1 species